GACGAACGCUGGCGGCGUGCUUAACACAUGCAAGUCGAACGGAAAGGCCCUGCUUUUGUGGGGUGCUCGAGUGGCGAACGGGUGAGUAACACGUGAGUAACCUGCCCUUGACUUUGGGAUAACUUCAGGAAACUGGGGCUAAUACCGGAUAGGAGCUCCUGCUGCAUGGUGGGGGUUGGAAAGUUUCGGCGGUUGGGGAUGGACUCGCGGCUUAUCAGCUUGUUGGUGGGGUAGUGGCUUACCAAGGCUUUGACGGGUAGCCGGCCUGAGAGGGUGACCGGCCACAUUGGGACUGAGAUACGGCCCAGACUCCUACGGGGGGCAGGAGUGGGGAAUAUUGCACAAUGGGCGGAAGCCUGAUGCAGCAACGCCGCGUGCGGGAUGACGGCCUUCGGGUUGUAAACCGCUUUCGCCUGUGACGAAGCGUGAGUGACGGUAAUGGGUAAAGAAGCACCGGCUAACUACGUG
rnacentral:rRNA from 1 species